GACGAACGCUGGCGGCGUGCCUAAUACAUGCAAGUCGAACGAGAGCGACCGGUGCUUGCCCUGGUCAAUCUAGUGGCGAACGGGUGAGUAACACGUGGGUAACCUGCCCAUCAGAGGGGGAUAACAUCCGGAAACGGAUGCUAAAACCGCAUAGGUCUUCGAACCGCAUGGUUUGAAGAGGAAAAGAGGCGCAAGCUUCUGCUGAUGGAUGGGCCCGCGGUGCAUUAGCUAGUUGGUGAGGUAACGGCUCACCAAGGCCGUGAUGCAUAGCCGACCUGAGAGGGUGAUCGGCCACAUUGGGACUGAGACACGGCCCAAACUCCUACGGGAGGCAGCAGUAGGGAAUCUUCCGCAAUGGACGCAAGUCUGACGGAGCAACGCCGCGUGAGUGAAGAAGGUUUUCGGAUCGUAAAACUCUGUUGUUAGAGAAGAACAAGUGCUAGAGUAACUGUUAGCGCCUUGACGGUAUCUAACCAGAAAGCCACGGCUAACUACGUG
rnacentral:rRNA from 1 species